UGAGCGACCUGAUUGUUAUCUGCC
rnacentral:siRNA from 1 species